UCGAAGUGGUUAUUGGGAACGUUUACAACAUAAUAGAGAGCAUUAGUCCGAUCCACUUUUGACAUCAUUAUCUGUGUAGUCGAGUGACGAUAACCUGCUAGCGGUGUGUUGGUCGCUCCCGCCCCGCCUCGAGCCAGCGGCAGUCGCGCGCGUCCUCGUCUGCCGUGUGGUCGUGUGCUCAGUGCGCUGCGCAUGCCUCUCCAUCUGCCUACAAGGGUACACUUGGAGAACUCGCUUUUGGCGGGUUUUCGCACGGACGUGAGCGGCGAAUGUGAUGCGCUUUACGAUCGGACACGGAAUGUGUGCGUGCUGCCUAUUGUAUGUGUUUGCGCGUCACAGUGAAAUCCGCGGCGAGGACUGUCAGUGAUCACUUGGAUUGCAGUGUUGGAUCUUAGGAUAUAAACGGAGGCGGCCUGCUCUACGAUUUUAAUAAAUUUUUUCUGUAUCGCUCGUUGAAUAUUUGAAAAAAAAAACACUAAAAUGUUCGUACGCGGCGUUGAUUAACAGCGAAUUUUUAAUUGUGUGUACUUAAGAAACGUCAUUGUGUUGUGUAUGUAUAGUGUGUAAAUACUUCAUAAGUGUGUGUAUGCAAAACGUGAAAUAUUUAGAAUAAUAAGUAUUAAACAAGAUACCAGUGGUAUGCAUAUGUUGUGUUAUGAAAGGCCUGGUGUUGUUACCGCCCUGAACGGAUCUGUUGGGUACGACAAGUGGGACCGGGACAGGGGCGGGGGCGGAGGCGCGGGCGGCGCGACCGGCGGCUCGUGGGCGGGCCGCGACCGCGAGCGCG